UACGUAGGGGGCAAGCGUUGGUCCGGAUUUAUUGGGCGUAAAGAGCUCGUAGGCGGUCUGUUACGUCUGCUGUGAAACCCUGGGCUUAACCCUGGGCUUGACAGUGGAUACGGGCAGACUAGAGGCAGGUAGGGGAGAAUGGAAUUCCCGGUGUAGGCGGUGAAAUGCGCAGAUAUCGGGAGGAACACCCGUGGCGAAGGCGGCUGCUCUCGGGACGGUACUGACGCGUGAGACGCGAAAGCGUGGGAGCGAA
rnacentral:rRNA from 1 species